GUUACACACAUUCAUGCUGUUGCAGGCGUGCAGGUCGGUGGUGUUACAUUCAUGCUGUUGCAGGCGUGCAGGUCGGUGGUACAUUCAUGCUGUUGCAGGCGUGCAGGUCGGUGGUGUUACACAUUUUCACGCUGUUGCAGACGUGCAGGUCAGUGGUGUUACAUUCAUGCUGUUGCAGGCGUGCAGGUCGGUGGUGUUACAUUCACGCUGGUGCAGGCAUGCAGGUCGGUGGUGUUACACACAACGCUGUUGCAGGCGUGCAGGUCAGUGGUACACACAUUCACGCUAUUGCAGGCGUGCAGGCCGGUGGUGUUACAUUCACGCUGUUGCAGGCGUGCAGGUUGGUGUUACACACAUUCACACUUGCAGGCGUGCGGGUCGGUGGUGUUACACACAUUCAUGCUGUUGCAGGCGUGCAGGUCGGUGUUACACACAUUCACACUUGCAGGCGUGCAGGUCGGUGGUGUUACACACA
rnacentral:lncRNA from 1 species